UGAAAGAUAAAUAAUUUCCAACAUCCAACAUCUUCUAAAUUAGGGAUUGAACACAAUGCCCAACAAGCCAUUCUACCUGGCUUGUGCCAGAACCUGCAUGUAGGACCAAACUUUUCAAUCAAGAUGGUGAGAGUGACUUGUCCCAAUAGCUUGCAGAUAAGGUUCAUUCAUUGGUGUUGCAGAAUUGUAAGAUCAACAGAGCCAAAGGGCAGUUUUCUGACUGAGGACAAUAUGGGGGCAGCUCAAGUCAGUCCUAUAUAAAUGGCACCAUGAAGACUUGUUUUCCAUGCUUGGAGAGAGAUCUGUUUCCAGAAGGGGGGGAGGUGGGGAUAAAAAUGGUGUCCAAGGUAGAAGAAACCAGAUUCAGAAGGCAGGAAUCCUUGAAGAGGAACAAGCAGGACAAUGAGGUGAAGGGGAAGGACCCAAAGCAAGAGGUGGUGAGGCUGCAAAAGGUGUGCAAGUUCAAGAGGAGCAGCUUCAGUGAGGAAGAAGAUGCUACUUCCUCUGCCAUUCUCCUCUUAGCUUGUAUUGCAUGUGCUCCUCCUCCUCUAUAGCUCUGCCUUCCUUUACCUUCGGACUUAGCUUCUACCAUAAGCUUCAGAUCACCAGUGUUCAUUGUCCUCUUGGGAACAUGUACACAGUGGUGCUCUGAUACCUGCAGCUCUUAGGAACAUUGUUCCUCCUGGGACCAUGAACACAGUGACAACCUACACCAAAAGAUGGUCAUACGACAGUGUCUAAGGAAAUCUCAAAGUGAAAUGUCUGUGUUGUCUCUUUAUGCAUGAAGUCUUCAAAUAUGUUUGAGCUGUCUGUAAAAUCCAAGCACAAACAGGUACCACUUCCAUCUCA